CUUCGGCAAUGGGCGCAAGCCUGACCGAGCGACGCCGCGUGCGGGAUGAAGGCCUUCGGGUUGUAAACCGCUGUCAGUGCGGAGGAAAUGCAGUGGGGUUCUCCCCAUUGUUUGACCUAUGCGCAGAGGAAGGACGGGCUAAGUUCGUGCCAGCAGCCGCGGUAAGACGAACCGUCCAAACGUUAUUCGGUAUUACUGGGCUUAAAGGGUGCGUAGGCGGCUUGGUAGGUCUGAUGUGAAAGCCCACGGCUCAACCGUGGAAUUGCGUCGCAAACCCCCAAGCUUGAGGAAGACAGGGGUGUUGGGAACUUAUGGUGGAGCGGUGAAAUGCGUUGAUAUCAUGGGGAACACCGGUGGCGAAGGCGCAACACUGGGUCUUUUCUGACGCUGAGGCACGAAAGCUAGGGUAGCG
rnacentral:rRNA from 1 species